GCGGUGCUGGGCGAGGAAGCCAUCGGCUUCGAGGUGCCGGCCCUGCGCCUGAUCGGCCAGGCCGCCUCGGGUUCGAUGCGCGAUGCGCUGUCCC
rnacentral:tRNA from 1 species